CCUACGGGUGGCAGCAGUGGGGAAGAGUGGGCAAGGGGCGCAAGCCUGACCCAGCAACGCCGCGUGAAGGAAGAAGGCUUUCGGGUUGUAAACUUCGGUUAAGAGGGAAGAGCAGAAGACGGUACCUCUUGAAUAAGCCACGGCUAACUACGUGCCAGCAGCCGCGGUAAUACGUAGGUGGCAAGCGUUGUCCGGAUUUACUGGGGGUAAAGGGCGUGCAGCCGGGAAGACAAGUCAGAUGUGAAAUCCCGCGGCUCAACCGCGGAACGGCAUUUGAAACUGUUUUUCUUGCGUACCGGAGUGGUCAUCGUCAUUCCUUUUGUAGCGGUUC
rnacentral:rRNA from 1 species